rnacentral:sRNA from 1 species
CUUUAAAAAUCUGGAUCAAGCUGAAAAUUGAAACGACACACUGUUUCCUUUCUCCGUAAUAAGAAAGGAAAAACAAUGUGUUCGAGUCUCUCAAAUUUUCGCAACGCGGACUGUUUUACGAAACAGCUUCGG